rnacentral:lncRNA from 1 species
UUAUAAAAUAAAAUAGUCUUUUAAUUUAUUUAGGGGUAAAAUUGUCAUUUUAUUAAAAUUAUUUAAUAGUGUUAAUGCAAAAGUGGCUAGUUGAUACAAAUGUGAAAAGAAAGGUGAUGCAAAAUACAUAUUAAAAUUUUAUAGUAGUUAGAUGAACAUAAGACAAAAUAAAGGUGGUGCAAUGAUAAUUUCUCAAUAUUAAAAUUUAAUCCUUUUUUGCUAGCUAUAUUAUCUAAUAAACUCUACACAAACCCACACACAGUCUAAGUGGAUCUGGGCAUUAAUGAUCGCUCCUUUCACUUUCCACACCAUACCCCUUGGAGUAACUAAAGGAGUGGCUUGGGUAUACUUGUACUGCAUGAAAAAUACAUUUAUUGCAUGAUGAAUCUAUAUCUAUAUCUAUAUAUAUAGAGUUGAGACUUGAGGAGGUGAUGUGGCAUCACUAUUUCUCAUCUUUGUAUAUUCUCUAUUAUCUAAUAAAUAGAGAAAGUUUCUUUUAGAUUUGGCUUUUCAUCUUUUCAUAAUUAAUUUGAUUGUUAUUACACAAUAACAAUUAUGUAAAUAUUUUAAUGAGGCAUAUUCUUUGUAAUGAACAUCCAAGGGGGAGUGUUAUGAAUUUAUUAAAAUAAAUGUAGAUGUUCAUAACAUAUAUCUUUUAGUCUCCCCACUAUCUCUCAUUAGUAACCUUUAGCUUCCCUAUAACUCCUACUAUCUCACAAGGAAUUAUAAUCCAUAAUUUUUCAUUAAUUUCAUGGAGUGAUUAUGUAACUAUAAAAGGGGAGCUCAUUUUUUUAUUUUGUACACACACAAUUAGAAUGAAUAAAAUCACUCUAUAAUAUAUUCUCUCAUUUUAUUAUUUAUCUUGCGUUGCUUCUUUGUUUGUAUUGCUGGCUAUUAGCUUUUUUUGUUUUUUAUAAGGCUGUCUCAUCUAAAAAAAAAAGCAAUUUAUAUUUUUUUUUUCAGUUUCAUCAAGUGUAAAUUAAGAAAAAAAGAUAAUACUAAAUUUUUUUUUCAAAGCCGCGUGAAGCGCGGUUCUAUUUUCUAGUAUAUAUAUAAAGCUGGGACUUGAGAAUGUGAUGUGGCAUCACCAUUUCUCAUCUUUGUAUAUUCUAUAUUAUCUAAUAAAUAAAGAAUUUUUUUUUUAGAUUUGGAUUUUCAUCUUCUCAUAAUUAAUUUGAUUGUUAUUACACAAUAACAAUUAUAUAAAUAUUUUAAUAAGGCAUAUUCUUUAUAAUGAACAUCCAAGGGGGAGUGUUAUGAAUUUAUUAAAAUAAAUGUAGAUGUUCAUAACAUAUAUCUCUUAGUCUCUCCACUAUCUCCCAUUAGCAACAUUUAGCUUCCAUAUAACUCCCACUAUCUCACAAGGAAUUAUGAUCCAUAAUUUUUCAUUAAUUUCAUGGAGUGAUUAUGUAACUAUAAAAGGAGAUCUCAUCUUUUUAUUUUGUACACACACAAUUGGAAUGAAUAAAAUCAUUCUAUAAUAUAUUCUCUCAUUUUAUUCUUUAUCUUGCGUUGCUUCUUUAUUUGUAUUGCUGGCUAAUAACUUUUUUUGUUUUUUAUAAGGCUGUCUCAUCUUAAAAAAA